rnacentral:rRNA from 1 species
AUGGAAAAAUUCGAAGGGUAUUCAGAAAAACAUAAAUCUCGUCAACAAUACUUCGUCUACCCACUUCUCUUUCAUGAAUAUAUUUAUGCAUUUGCCCACGAUUAUGGAUUAAAUGGUUCUGAACCUGUGGAAAUAGUUGUUAGUUGUAAUAACAAGAAAUUUAGUUCACUACUUGUGAAACGUUUAAUUAUUCGAAUGUAUCAGCAGAAUUUUUUGGAUAACUCGGUUAAUCAUCCUAACCAAGAUCGAUUAUUGGAUUACAAAAAUUAUUUUUAUUCUGAGUUUUAUUCUCAGAUUCUAUCUGAAGGGUUUGCGAUCGUUGUGGAAAUCCCAUUCUCGCUACGGGAAUUAUUUUGUCCGAAAGAAAAAGAAAUACCAAAGUUUCAGAAUUUACGCUCUAUUCAUUCAAUAUUUCCCUUUUUAGAAGACAAAUUUUUGCAUUUGGAUUAUCUAUCACAUAUAGAAAUACCCUAUCCUAUCCAUUUGGAAAUCCUGGUUCAACUCCUUCAAUACCGUAUCCAAGAUGUUCCAUCUUUGCAUUUAUUGCGAUUCUUUCUCAACUAUUAUUCGAAUUGGAAUAGUUUUAUUACUUCAAUGAAAUCCAUUUUUUAUUUUCAAAAAGAAAAUAAAAGACUAUUUCGAUUCCUAUAUAACUCUUAUGUAUCAGAAUAUGAAUUUUUUUUGUUGUUUCUUCGUAAACAAUCUUCUUGCUUACCAUUAGCAUCUUCUGGAACUUUUCUGGAACGAAUCCACUUUUCUAGGAAGAUGGAACAUUUUGGGAUAAUGUACCCUGGUUUUUCUCGGAAAACCCUAUGGUUCUUUAUGGAUCCUCUUAUGCAUUAUGUUCGAUAUCAAGGAAAGGCAAUUCUUGCAUCAAAAGGCACUUUUUUUUUGAAGAAGAAAUGGAAAUGCUACCUUAUCAAUUUCUGGCAAUAUUAUUUCUGUUUUUGGACUCAGCCGCGAAGAAUCCAUAUAAACCAAUUAGCAAACUCUUGCUUCGAUUUUAUGGGGUACCUUUCAAGUGUACCAAAAAGUUCUUUGUUAGUAAGGAAUCAAAUGCUGGAGAAUUCAUUUCUAAUAGAUACUCGAAUGAAAAAAUUCGAUACCAUAGUCCCCGCUACUCUCCUCAUAGGAUACUUAUCAAAAGCUCAAUUUUGUACUGGAUCGGGGCAUCCUAUUAGUAAACCCAUUUGGACAGAUUUAUCAGAUUGGGAUAUUCUUGAUCGAUUUGGUCGGAUAUGUAGAAAUCUUUUUCAUUAUCAUAGUGGAUCUUCGAAAAAACGGACUUUGUAUCGACUAAAGUAUAUACUUCGACUUUCAUGCGCUAGAACUUUAGCUCGGAAACAUAAAAGCACGGUACGAACUUUUAUGCAACGAUUGGGUUCGGCAUUUUUAGAAGAAUUUUUGAUGGAAGAAGAGCAAGUUUUUUCUUUGAUGUUCACCAAAACAACUCUUUUUUCUUUCUGUGGAUCACACACUGAGCGUAUUUGGUAUUUUGAUAUUAUACGUAUCAAUGACCUGGUCAACCCUCUUAAUUAA